rnacentral:tRNA from 1 species
CAUUCUAAAUUAAACUACUC